UACGAAGGGAGCUAGCGUUGUUCGGAAUUACUGGGCGUAAAGGGCGCGUAGGCGGACAUCUAAGUCAGGGGUGAAAUCCCAGGGCUCAACCCUGGAAUUGCCUUUGAUACUGGACGUCUCGAGUUCGGGAGAGGUGAGUGGAAUUCCGAGUGUAGAGGUGAAAUUCGUAGAUAUUCGGAGGAACACCAGAAGCGAAGGCGGCUCACUGGCCCGAUACUGACGCUGAGGCGCGAAAGCGUGGGAGCAAACAGG
rnacentral:rRNA from 1 species